rnacentral:rRNA from 1 species
AUUGAACGCUGGCGGCAGGCCUAACACAUGCAAGUCGAGCGAGCGGCGGGCGGGUGAGUAAUGUCUGGGAAACUGUCUGAUGGAGGGGGAUCACUACUGGAAACGGUAGCUAAUACCGCAUAAUAUCAGAUGCGGCUAGGUGGGAUUAGCUAGUGGGUGGGGUAAAGGCCUACCAAGGCGACGAUCCGUAACUGGUCUGAGAGGAUGAUCCGUCACACUGGAACUGAGACACGGUCCAGACUCCUACGGGAGGCAGCAGUGGGGAAUAUUGGACAAUGGGCGAAAGCCUGAUCCAGCCAUGCCGCGUGUGUGAAGAAGGCCUUCGGGUUGUAAAGCACUUUCAGCGGGGAGGCGUUACCCGCAGAAGAAGCACCGGCUAACUCCGUGCCAGCCGCCGCGGUAAUAC